GGUCAUGGAGAUGACUGCCCACCAGUAGCUGGCGGGGACGCUGGAGAAGUCGCGGCGAGCGCCCAGCUCGCGCUCAGCCAGGUGCACGAGCGGCGCGAAGAGCGCCAUGGCCACGCAGAGGAAGAGCAGCAGCAGUCCGAACUCGCGUGCGCAGCGGCGCACGGUGAGGCCAAGCGAGCGCAGCCCCAGCGAGUGGCGCGCCAGGCGCAUCACGUAGAGCACGCGCAGCGCCCGCAGCAGCCGCAGCACCAGCCCCGCGCGCUCCAGCAUCUUGCUGCCCGUGGGCCCUGCCGCCAGUCCCGCGAGCAGCGACACGUAGAAGGGCAGGAUGGCCAGGAUGUCGAUGAUGGCAAGCGGCGUCCGGAGGAAGGCGCACUUGCUCUCGGCCUGCAGGGAGCGCAGCAGGAACUCGAAGGAGAACCAGGCCACGCACACCGUCUCCAGCACGAACAGCUGGAGGAAGGAGAGAAAAAGGAACCCCAGUGCACAGAAAAAUGAGAGACCUGAACAACGAGGGCAGACCUUAAAAAUCGAAAUCGACACAUCUCACACAACCAGAACAGGAAAUGCAGGCGGAGGCACGGCUACUGCCACCAACAAGGAAAAGGCUAAAGGAUAAAGGAAAAGGCUACACUGCGGUGUGUAUGGUGUGCCUGCAGCUUGGAUAAUUUGGAUGCAAUGGACUAAUUCUAGAUUGGUAAACAGAAAGGGACUUGGGAAGAAAAGAGCGUCUGAAGCAAGCCUGGAGACAAAGAGCCCACGGCCGGGAGGUUAAAGAGCAGAGAGCCCGCACAGCAGUACAGACAGCCCUACGGAGUGCCCCACAAUAUCCAAGAAGUAACUUGUCCGAGUUAUUAACACCAACCAUGACAAAACAAAAGUAGAGGAGAUACUUCUGAGAGACACAAAACCCACACAGCCUCCUCUUCAGAAAACUAUAGAAAAAUGGCCUCAGGUCUGUCUGCUAACCCCAGCCCUUGGGAGAUGGAAGCCAGAGAAUCAGGAAUUCAGGCCCAUCUUCAACUAUGUAUGCAGUUGAGGCUAGACUCAGCUACACCAGACAAUCUCAGAAACAAAGGUGAAAAGAGCAACAAUAGAAGUUUAAAGUAGAGAAGCCAGCAGCAGACAGCAGACUUAGAAGCCACGGUGGAGGAGGGGCUCCGAGACAGCAGGCACACACGCGAGCCACCAAGACUCAAACCCUAAGAGCUACAUGAUUCCUAAGAGCUACAUGUUGGAAGGAGAGAACCCACUUCUCCACGUGUGGGCCAUGGUACACCCACGCCCUCCUAAUAGAUACUUAAAAAAAAUCAAGAUGGAGAAAGGGUUUUGCUGGGGAAGCAGGGCUGACUUAGUACCUGAAACUGAUUAACUCACAAUAAAAGCAUCAUUAAAAAGUAA